GACGAACGCUGGCGGCGUGCUUAACACAUGCAAGUCGAACGGAAAGGCCCUGCUUUUUUGGGGUGCUCGAGUGGCGAACGGGUGAGUAACACGUGAGUAACCUGCCCUUGACUUUGGGAUAACUUCAGGAAACUGGGGCUAAUCCCGGAUCGGCACUCCUGCUUCUUGGUGGGGGUUGGAAAGUUUCGGCGGUUGGGGAUGGACUCGCGGCUUAUCAGCUUGUUGGUGGGGUAGUGGCUUACCAAGGCUUUGACGGGUCGCCGGCCUGAGAGGGUGACCGGCCACAUUGGGACUGAGAUACGGCCCAGACUACUACGGGAGGCAGCAGUGGGGAAUAUUGCACAAUGGGCGGAAGCCUGAUGCAGCAACGCCGCGUGCGGGAUGACGGCCUGCGGGUUGGAAACCGCUUUCGCCUGUGACGAAGCGUGAGUGACGGUAAUGGGUAAAGAAGCACCGGCUAACUACGUG
rnacentral:rRNA from 1 species